GCCCUUGUAGUUCAAUGGAUAGAACAGCGCACUCCUAACGCGCUAAUCGAGGUUCGAUUCCCCGCGAGGGCA
rnacentral:tRNA from 1 species